UAGUUUUCACCUUUUUCUUUCUCUCCUUCUUUCUCCUCUUCCUCCUCCUCCUCCUCUUCCUCCUCCUCCUCCUUCCCCUUCUCCUUGUUCUCCAGCUGCUCUCCCCAUUUCCCUGCUCCGGCUCCUCUCCCCGAGCCCGGAUUUGCUCCGUGGUUUUUGUGGAGCCCCUCUGGGUGUCCCCAAUCCCGGUGGCUCUGGGGACGCUCAUUCCCAGCUCUCCGGAGCCUCCCAAGCCCCCGGGGCCACCCCAGUCUGGAGGGAAAGGGUUCAGAGCUGCUGAGCGGGAUUUUCCCAGCUCCGGAGUCUCCGGCUCGGGAUCUCAUCCCUGUUUUCUCCAUCCCCAGAUGUCCCCGAGGUUGAGGUGGCCCUGGAGAACAACCUGGUGAGAUAUCGGGGUGCUCCUGCCCCAUCCCAAACCUGCACCUCUCCGUUCCCUCCCCAUCCCGGUAUUCCCGGGCUUUCCUCCCCCACAAAUUCCCACAUCCCACCAGGCACUAUACGGGGAAUUCCUUAACCAUGGCACCCAGACCCAUCCCAAACCCCCCGUGCCUCAGUUUCCCCAUUCCCGAGGGUGUUCCCAUCCUAACUCCUCGCUCUUCCCGCAGGAAGAGGAUCCAGCCCACCCCAAACCCCCCGUGCCUCAGUUUCCCCAUUCCCGAGGGUGUUCCCAUCCUAACUCCCCGCUCUUCCUGCAGGAAGAGGAUCCAGCCCACCCCAAACCCCACAGCGUCUCCCCCAGCCUGGAGGAGAUCCACGUGGGGCAGCCGGUCCCACUGUGCUGCUGGACGUCGCAGCCGCAGCCUGCGGUGGAGCGGGGCAGCCAGGUGUCCCCCAAGAUCCUGAAGCUGGAAUGCGACCACGAGCCGGGCCCCAGCCAUCCCAAAUCCCGCUGGGAAUUCCCGACGCAGCCCGGCCCCUCGGCGGCACCGCACAACUGCGCCCGCGCCGGCGACGCCGAGGGCGGCAGCAUCAUCAUCUGCAGCUCAGACGACAGCGACGAGGACACCGUGGUGGUGACGGUGACACCGGAGCCGUGCUGACGUCCCAGUGGAUCAUCCCGCAAUUCCCAUUCCCAGAAUUCCGCUUGGGCUUUCCUCUUCUUGGCCAAUCCCAAAUUUAUUCCUGGACUGAGCCUCUGGUGUUCCGGAGCGGCCCCAAAUCCCCCUCUGGGAUCCCCCCCAGCAGUUGGAGCAGGGAAUUCCUCGGGAUUGGGAUUGGGAUUAGGAUUGGGAUUUGGGUCCAUUUCCCAAUGUAAUGAGGGAUUAAAAUCCCGUUUUUUUAAUGCUUCCCCUCAAUAAAUUUGCUCCAGGAUAAAUUUCAGCCUUGCUUUUCCCAGUCCAUCCUGAGCAGAGGGAAAAUCGGGAAUUUUGGGAUCAAAUCUUUCCCUGCUCCCUGCUCCUGGCAUCCAUCCCAGCGUUUCAGGGAUGAGGGAAAUCCCAGGGAUAAAAUUCCCACAUUCCGUGGGUGGAGGAGCCUGUUCCAGCCACAUUCCCACAAAUCCGGGGCUGCCGGGAAAGAGGGAAAGGGAAUUCCAUUUCCCAGGAAAAGAAUGUGGGAUUGUCCUGAGGAAAAACAGGGAAUGAAUUCGGGGCUCUGCUUUUAUCCCGGAUCCCGGUGGUUUUUUGGGACACCCCAAGGAAUAUUUCCAUGGAUUUAAUUCCUGGGAUUUCUGGGAUUUGAGCAUUCCUGCCUCAAUCCCAGCUGGAUUUGGGAUGCCCAGAUCCAAUAUUUGGGGUUCCUCACUCCAGGAAUGUUUUCCAUGGAUUAAAUUCCUGGAUUUGUCCUGGCUGGAUUUGGGAUUCUCAGAUCCAAUUUUCAGGGUUCCUCACUCCAGGAAUGUUUUCCGUGGAUUAAAUUCCUGGGGUUUUUGGGAUUUGAGUGUUCCUGCCUCAAUCCCAGAUGGAUUUGGGACACCCAGAUCCCAUUUUUGGGACAUGCCAACUCCAGGAAUGGUUCCAGGGAUGAAAUUCCUGGGAUUUGACCUGGAAUAGUUUUUGGGAUUCCCAGAUCCUAUUUUUGGUGUUCCUCACUCCAAGAAUGUUUUCUAUGGAAUAAAUUCCUGGGAUUUCUGGGAUUUGAGUAUUCCUACUUCAAUCCCAGAUGGAUUUGGGAUUUCCAGAUCCCAUUUUUGGGUCAUCCCCACUCCAGGAAUGUUUCCAUGGAUGAAAUUCCUGGGAUUUGACCUGGAAUUGUUUUUGGGAUUCUCAGAUCCCAUUUUUGGGCUUUCCCAGCUCCAGAACUGUUUCCAUUGAUGAAAUUCCUGGGAUUUGUCCUGGCUGGAUUUGGGAUUCCCAGAUCCAAUUUUUGGGGCUCCUCACUCCAGGAAUGUUUUCCAUGGAUUAAUUUCCUGGGAUUUGUCCUGGCUGGAUUUGGGAUUCCCAGAUCCCAUUUUUGGGGUUCCUCACCCCAGGAAUGUUUUCCAUGGAUGAAAUUCCUGGGAUCUGAGCAUUCCAUGGAUUCCAUUCAGAUUCCUCGCUCCCAAGGCUGCCCCAUCCAGCCCCAAGCCACCAGCCGGGAUUGGGAUCCCUUUUCCAGCCUUUCCCAGGAUUUUGGGGACAUGGGGACACCGGCCCAUGGAGGUGGCACCUGGCCCUGUCCCCAUCACAACCUUUGAGAUUCCUGGUUGGAGCUGGGAAUUCCGGAAUUCCGUGGCAUCAAGGGUGUCCCCAAAGGUGACAUUGUCCAGGGAAUUUGGGGACAUGGAGGGACCCACGGAGGUGGCACUGGGUGCCCCAUGCAGGUGGCACUGGGUGUCCCACGGAGGUGGCACUGGGUGUCCCAUGUAGGUGGCACUGGGUGUCCCAUGGAGGUGGCACUGGGUGUCCCCAUGCAGGUGGCACUGGGUGUCCCAUGCAGGUGGCACUGGGUUUCUCAUGGAGGUGACACUGGGUGUCCAUGCAGGUGGCACUGGGUGUCCCAUGUAGGUGGCACUGGGUGUCCCAUGGAGGUGGCACUGGGUGUCCCAUGCGGGUGGCACUGGGUGUCCCAUGGAGGUGGCCCUGGGUGUCCCAUGCGGGUGGCACUGGGUGUCCCAUGGAGGUGACACUGGGUGUCCCAUGCAGGUGGCACUGGGUGUCCCCGUGGAGGUGACACUGGGUGUCCAUGCAGGUGGCACUGGGUGUCCCAUGUAGGUGGCACUGGGUGUCCCCGUGGAGGUGACACUGGGUGUCCAUGCAGGUGGCACUGGGUGUCCCCACGGAGGUGGCACUGGGUGUCCCAUG
rnacentral:lncRNA from 1 species